rnacentral:rRNA from 1 species
UACGUAGGGGGCAAGCGUUGUCCGGAAUCAUUGGGCGUAAAGAGCGCGUAGGCGGUCCAGUAAGUCCGCUCUUAAAGUCCGGGGCUCAACCCCGGGAGGCGUGCGGAUACUGCUGGGCUAGAGUCCGGAAGAGGUGAGUGGAAUUCCUAGUGUAGAGGUGAAAUUCGUAGAUAUUAGGAAGAACACCAGUGGCGAAGGCGGCUCACUGGCCCGGUACUGACGCUGAGGCGCGAAAGCGUGGGGAGCGAACAGG